UCCAAGCGUGGCUGUGCUUUCCUCCCCGCCAAUUAUCGCCGCAGCAGCAAAACCAGCAGUGACAGGACGUAGGCGAGGACGCUGGGAAGGCUCUGAUUGGUCGAGUUUGUCCCCACCUUCUUGAUCUCUGGCAGUUUGGGGUACUCUCUGCUAAACGGCGUCAAGGUCUCGUCAGUGCGAGGACCCCGCGAGCACGCUUCGUCGGUGCAGAUGGUGCCGCUUCCAGAACCGCUGGCAUCGUCACCUGGAGGCGUAAGAAGGAGCGCUGGAGACCAUGUGGGGGGGCGGAAAAGACCUCAAGGGAGAGACACGGAGUGACACAAAAUCGGCACGGAGGACUGCAGGAAAGGAACUGGCAAAAGACGGCUGAAAAGCAUUUAAGUUGUGUUGUAAAAGAGGUGUGCCGAAAAGAGGAAAAAAAUAAAAACUGUGUCAAUCCAA